rnacentral:misc_RNA from 1 species
CGGACCUUUCAUCUGGCAAGCGUUUUGCACAGGCAGCCGCGCCUCUACGCGGAUCUUCCUUCCGUCGCACGUGCCAAUACAAAGGCACCGCUCACCCGCAGUUUCCUAGUGGUCUCCCCUCCUUUUUUUUUGGUUCCCUUGGCUCUCUCGCCACCUUUUUGAUUGGAACACACGUGCCCGCUCGUAUACGACGACGAUGCAUUUUCAGUACUCGUUCUUGCACCACGGGGUACUCUGCUGACGACGACCGACUUUCCAGUCCGUUCUCGAGGCAACUCCUAUCGCCUUUUCCGCUUGCCCCAUUCCUACCUUUUUUUUUGCGUUUUGGUUGCGUCUUCUUUGGCUUUUCCUUACACACUCCAUGUGUCAUGGGUGCCUUUCCGGCAUCCUGAGCCACGCUGCUCCAAGGGCCAGCCCCUGCCGCGUCGCCGUUGGUCGUGUGUCAUGGGCGCCUGUCCGUGUUAUGCUUGCUGAGCUACGCAGGCACAACAACAACACAACGAGGAAAGUCUCGCGAGCGAACAAAAAAAUGUCGGCAAAAUUUUUCGUGUUUUCCUUUGAAUGUUUUCGUGUGGGGUGAGUGGGACGCUCUGUAACGCCUUUUUCUUUGUGGCCCCUCGUUUCACCUUCGAGAUAUACCUGAUCCUGCAGGUGGGCUUGCUUUCGUUGAGUCUUUCGAGGUGGAGGUGCGAUAGGUGUGAUAGGCUCUAAUCCCUGCAAGCACUCUGCUGCUCAUUCCAGCUACGCGCUUUCCUGUGCUGUCCGUCCCUCCUCCUUCCACGGACAGGCAGAGAAGCAAGAGGCAGUAGUUUGCGGUGCGGCAGCCCGACCGCGCCAGCGUGGAGGUGUGAACGACACAGAUGCCGGGGGGGGGCAUGACGCGAGCACCCCGAAUGGCAGCAUCGAGUCGUCCGGGCUCCCAUAUGGAGAGUCUCCACACCGUACUAUGGCAUGCCGCUGCUUGAGGCGACGGAGGGCGCGAGGGAGGGCACACAGGCGGAGCACAGGGCCUCCAGGGGGCCCUGGCCUGCGGCUGCCCAACUGAUUCCGUGAGCCCGUGCGGCAUGCACCGGGGCCACCACCACCCCUCUACUACGCGCACGGCGGACGCCGGUGCCUCCGCCCUUGAGCAGGGCCCUGGACGCUGCCCGCGUUGGGUCCAGGCGCGCAGUGCACCCAGGUCGGUCUGGUGCCGGUGGCGCAGCACGCGUGCGAGGGAGGCGCGAGGAAGAACAAGAAGAGACCGUGAGACGCAUGUCCCCGCUUCGGCGGCAGCUGUCUCGCCCUAGGCGGGAGGGAUCGAACCGCAGCUCGACGGAGGGCGUCUGCGCUGUGUUUGUGUGUAUGCGCGUAUGUUAUUAGACCUGUUCGUGGCGGCAGGAACAAGCUAGACAACGAAUGACACAGAAAGGAAGCAACGGAGCCAAGAGUAUCUCUGCUUGCCUACCGCCCUUUUUUUUUUGUUGUUUGAAAGCCGAUUUCAUUCGGUGGUGCCCGAAGUAGAUCGACCACAGCGGUGAUGGUGAGACCGCUUUCGAGUGGAGGCGUUCACUGCAAGGCGGGUCGCUCAUAGUCGACUUUUUUUUGUGUGAGUGUGUUGCGUCUUCGUCGCCUUCUCCUUUACACAGCUGCGCGCACGCUCAUGCACGUGGAUGUUGUCGGUCUUUGUAGCCUGUCGCCCUUGCGAGCCCCAACCUUGUUCCGUAGGGCCGUCAAAUCGAGAACGCGUGAACUGGUCUCUCUCUAUGUAGUUUUUUGUGGUGCCUUUGCGUAAGACCGGAUGAGGCUGGCCACCCGAACAUGAGAUCAGCGCCCCGUGUCCACUUUCUUCUUGUUGUGCGCCGUGCCCAUUCCAUCGGAGAUCACAAGGUGAACUCAGUCCUACCCCGUAUGCUGCCCGUCCAUCGCGUGCUGCGAAGCAGCCGCGGACACGUGGCGCAGCAUAAUGGACCGGCUCAGUCAUUGGAGUGCACGGCCUCUGAGGCCAACACUGUCUCCUUGCCGUUUCGCAGAUGGACUCACAGCUGCUCUCAUCAUGCCAAUCGCCGCGCGGUGUAAUAUCCUCACGGUGGCUCAGCCUCUCCACGAACAGGCAGUGCGAGAGCCGUAUGGAAUAUGUGCUGGCCACGCUGAGACUUUGCCUAUCACCUGGAUAAUGCAAAAGUGCUGGCUCUCGCAGGUCGCUCCGACGCAGCGCCCUGCGCGACCUGGCCGCCCACAAUCAGCAGCGAGGACUCGCUAUGACUUCCCCAUGUCGUGGUUGAUGGACGCUGUCACGGCCAGAUGUGGCUUUGAAUUAGCAGAGGAUAAGAGGCUGGUUGAGUGCCCCCCCCGGCUCCUGGGCACCGAUCCCCGUGACACCGCGCGCGGCGGCGACACCCACUCCCUCCACUUCGUGAUUGAUGGCUCUUGAGAUGGAUAAAAAGAGCGGAAGCAAGGGCGCUUAGUUCACCACUCGGUCUGAAGCUGCCGCCGCCGCCGCUUUCUCUCUGUCUAUGCAUGCCUUCGACAAGAAAGUGAUCUGCGGAUGCAGAGAGAGGAUGCUCCCAUGCUGAGAGCGUGAGACUGUAUCGUGUUCUCCGUGAGCAAAACGUUGUGUGUUUCUUCUCCCUCCAACCGACGACCUCCACUUAAUGCCCCACCACCACGCCGUUGCUCUCAUCUCGCAACCGUGUCAG